rnacentral:rRNA from 1 species
GACGAACGCUGGCGGCGUGCUUAACACAUGCAAGUCGAACGAAGUGGCGAACGGGUGAGUAACGCGUAAUCAACCUGCCCUUCAGAGGGGGACAACAGUUGGAAACGACUGCUAAUACCGCAUACUGAAGGAGGGGAUUGCGUCUGAUUAGCUAGUUGGUGGGGUAACGGCCGGCCAAGGCGAUGAUCAGUAGCCGGUCUGAGAGGAUGAUCGGCCACAUUGGGACUGGGACCCGGCCCAGACUCCUAGGGGAGGCAGCGGUGGGGAAUCUUCCGGAAUGGACGAAAGUCUGUCGGAGCAGCGCCGCGUGAGUGAUGACGGCCUUCGGGUUGUAAAGCUCUGUUAAUCGGGACGCGGUACCGGAAUAGAAAGCCACGGCUAACUACGUGCCAGCAGCCGCGGUAAUAC